GACGAACGCUGGCGGCGUGCUUAACACAUGCAAGUCGAACGGAGUGGCGAACGGGUGAGUAACACGUGGGUGAUCUGCCUUGCACUUCGGGAUAAGCUUGGGAAACUGGGUCUAAUACCGGAUAGUGCAAGAUGAGCUCGCGGCCUAUCAGCUUGUUGGUGGGGUAAUGGCCUACCAAGGCGUCGACGGGUAGCCGGCCUGAGAGGGUGUACGGCCAACUUGGGAGUGGGAUACGGGCGCGACUACUGAGGGAGGCAGCGAUGGGGGAUAUUGCACGAUGGGCGGAAGUCUUAUGAAGCAACGCCGGGUGGGGGAUUAAGGCCUUCGGGUUGUAAACUCCUUUCGGCAGGAACGCGGUACCUGUAUAAGAAGCACCGGCUAACUACGUGCCAGCCGCCGCGGUAAUAC
rnacentral:rRNA from 1 species